rnacentral:rRNA from 1 species
GAUGAACGCUAGCGGCAGGCCUAAUACAUGCAAGUCGAACGAUACCAGAGAGCUUGCUUUCUGGGAAAGUGGCGCACGGGUGCGUAACGCGUAUGCAACCUACCUUAAUCAGGGGGAUAGCCUCUCGAAAGAGAGAUUAACACCGCAUAAAAUCACACUUCGGCAUCGAAGAAUGAUCAAAUAUUUAUAGGAUUAAGAUGGGCAUGCGUGACAUUAGCUAGUUGGUGAGGUAACGGCUCACCAAGGCUACGAUGUCUAGGGGAUCUGAGAGGAUGACGCCCCACACUGGUACUGAAAGCCGAACCAGCAUCCUGCAGGAGGAAGCAGUAAGGAAUAUUGGUCAAUGGAGUCAACUCUGAACCAGCCAUGCCGCGUGCAGGAAGACGGCCCUAUGGGUUGUAAACUGCUUUUAUACGGGGAUAAACCUCUCUACGUGUAGAGAGUUGAAUGUACUGUAAGAAUAAGGAUCGGCUAACUCCGUGCCAGCCGCCGCAGUAACAC